rnacentral:rRNA from 1 species
UACAGAGGUCUCAAGCGUUGUUCGGAUUCAUUGGGCGUAAAGGGUGCGUAGGUGGCGUGGUAAGUCGGAUGUGAAAUCCCGGGGCUCAACCCCGGAACUGCAUUCGAUACUGCCAUGCUAGAGUACUGGAGAGGAGAUUGGAAUUUACGGUGUAGCAGUGAAAUGCGUAGAUAUCGUAAGGAAGACCAGUGGCGAAGGCGGAUCUCUGGACAGUUACUGACACUGAGGCACGAAGGCCAGGGGAGCAAACGG